UACGGGGGGAGCAAGCGUUGUUCGGAUUUACUGGGCGUAAAGGGCGCGUAGGCGGCCAGCGCAAGUCAGUUGUGAAAUCUCCGGGCUUAACUCGGAAAGGUCAACUGAUACUGCGCGGCUAGAGUGCGGAAGGGGCAACUGGAAUUCUCGGUGUAGCGGUGAAAUGCGUAGAUAUCGUAAGGAAGACCAGUGGCGAAGGCGGGUCUCUGGACAGUUCCUGACGCUGAGGCACGAAGGUCAGGGGAGCAAACGGG
rnacentral:rRNA from 1 species